rnacentral:rRNA from 1 species
AACGAACGUUGGCGGCGUGGAUUAGGCAUGCAAGUCGAACGAAGACGCCUUGGGUAGCAAUACUUGAGGCGGACUGAGUGGCGAAAGGGGCAGUAAUGCGUGGGUAACCUACCCUGGGGAUGGGCAUAGCCGGACUAACGUCCGGGUAAUUCCCAGCGAUGUGACGAGGGGACAUCCUCUUGUCACCAAAUGGAUUCCGCCCUGGGAGGGGCUCACGUCGUAUUAGCUAGUUGGCGGGGUAACGGCCCACCAAGGCAAAGAUGCGUAGCGGGUGUGAGAGCACGACCCGCGCCACUGGCACUGAGACACUGGCCAGACACCUACGGGAGGCUG